UGUGGGAGCUGGCUUGCCAGCGAUGGGGCCGUAUCAGUCACCGUCACCGUGGCUGACACUCCGCUAUCGCUGGCAAGCCAGCUCCCAUA
rnacentral:antisense_RNA from 1 species